AUUGAACGCUGGCGGCAUGCUUUACACAUGCAAGUCGAACGGUAACAGGCCGCAAGGUGCUGACGAGUGGCGAACGGGUGAGUAAUGCAUCGGAACGUGCCCAGUCGUGGGGGAUAACUACUCGAAGGAGUAGCUAAUACCGCAUACGAUCUAUGGAUGAAAGCGGGGGACCGUAAGGCCUCGCGCGAUUGGAGCGGCCGAUGUCAGAUUAGGUAGUUGGUGGGGUAAAGGCUCACCAAGCCAACGAUCUGUAGCUGGUCUGAGAGGACGACCAGCCACGCUGGGACUGAGACACGGCCCAGACUCCUACGGGAGGCAGCAGUGGGGAAUUUUGGACAAUGGGCGCAAGCCUGAUCCAGCAAUGCCGCGUGCAGGAAGAAGGCCUUCGGGUUGUAAACUGCUUUUGUACGGAACGAAACGGCUCUGGUUAAUACCCGGGGCUAAUGACGGUACCGUAAGAAUAAGCACCGGCUAACUACGUG
rnacentral:rRNA from 1 species